ensembl:lncRNA
AACAUUUGGACUCAGAGACGCCCCCGACUGUAGUCAAAGUGUGCUGUGAAGUACAGGAGCUCUCCUUUAAUAAACCAGCAACAGGUUACAUCAGUAUAAACAAGCUGGCGAAAUACUCUGGGGACCUGUGUGAAAUCACACCGGACCACUGUGGCUGUUAAAUGCAUCAGUAAAUCCAACUGCCACACUAGUGUCUAUUUAUGUAUUGCAUUGUCCUUAUUCACCUAGCAGCCAUCUUGUUUUUAAGCACUAGUUGGG